GACGAACGCUGGCGGCGUGCUUAACACAUGCAAGUCGAACGGAAAGGCCCUGCUUUUGUGGGGUGCUCGAGUGGCGAUCGGGUGAGUAACACGUGAGUAACCUGCCCUUGACUUUGGGAUAACUUCAGGAAACUGGGGCUAAUACCGGAUAGGAGCUCCUGCUGCAUGGUGGGGGUUGGAAAGUUUCGGCGGUUGGGGAUGGACUCGCGGCUUAUCAGCUUGUUGGUGGGGCAGUGGCUUACCAAGGCUUUGACGGGUAGCCGGCCUGAGAGGGUGACCGGCCACAUUGGGACUGAGAUACGGCCCAGACUCCUACGGGAGGCAGCAGUGGGGAAUAUUGCACAAUGGGCGGAAGCCUGAUGCAGCAACGCCGCAUGCGGGAUGACGGCCUUCGGGUUGUAAACCGCUUUCGCCUGUGACGAAGCGUGAGUGACGGUAAUGGGUAAAGAAGCACCGGCUAACUACGU
rnacentral:rRNA from 1 species